rnacentral:rRNA from 1 species
UGAGGAAGUAAAAGUCGUAACAAGGUUUCCGUAGGUGAACCUGCGGAAGGAUCAUUACCUAGAGUUGUAGGCUUUGCCUACCAUCUCUUACCCAUGUCUUUUGAGUACCUUCGUUUCCUCGGCGGGUCCGCCCGCCGAUUGGACAAACUUAAACCCUUUGUAAUUGAAAUCAGCGUCUGAAAAAACAUAAUAGUUACAACUUUCAACAACGGAUCUCUUGGUUCUGGCAUCGAUGAAGAACGCAGCGAAAUGCGAUAAGUAGUGUGAAUUGCAGAAUUCAGUGAAUCAUCGAAUCUUUGAACGCACAUUGCGCCCCUUGGUAUUCCAUGGGGCAUGCCUGUUCGAGCGUCAUUUGUACCUUCAAGCUCUGCUUGGUGUUGGGUGUUUGUCUCGCCUUUGCGUGUAGACUCGCCUUAAAACAAUUGGCAGCCGGCGUAUUGAUUUCGGAGCGCAGUACAUCUCGCGCUUUGCACUCAUAACGACGACGUCCAAAAAGUAC